AUGAACGCUGGCGGCGUGCCUAACACAUGCAAGUCGAACGGAGUCGUUUUGGAAAUCUCUUCGGAGAUGGAAUUCUCGACUUAGUGGCGGACGGGUGAGUAACGCGUGAGCAAUCUGCCUUUAAGAGGGGGAUAACAGUCGGAAACGGCUGCUAAUACCGCAUAAAGCAUUAAAUUCGCAUGUUUUUGAUGCCAAAGGAGCAAUCCGCUUUUAGAUGAGCUCGCGUCUGAUUAGCUAGUUGGCGGGGCAACGGCCCACCAAGGCGACGAUCAGUAGCCGGACUGAGAGGUUGAACGGCCACAUUGGGACUGAGACACGGCCCAGACUCCUACGGGAGGCAGCAGUGGGGAAUAUUGCGCAAUGGGGGAAACCCUGACGCAGCAACGCCGUGUGAUUGAAGAAGGCCUUCGGGUUGUAAAGAUCUUUAAUCAGGGACGAAACAAAUGACGGUACCUGAAGAAUAAGCUCCGGCUAACUACGUG
rnacentral:rRNA from 1 species